rnacentral:sRNA from 1 species
AAAGUUAAACCCUGAAUCCUACUUUAACUUCGAGGUUCUUAUUGCGUUUCUAGUUUUUAUACUGAAUGAUAAACAAAACAUCAAGUCAAUUUGAACUACAAAAACACAAACCAAGCUUCUUCAUGAUUCUCAAAGCUUUGAUGGUGAAACCGAAGUUCUUAACAGUUUUUGCUUUUGAAUCGUAUAACAAGGAAGCACUACUUUACUCUUCGGGAUCUCGUUGAGGUUCUAGUUUUAUAUUCAAUCAUACACAUGACAUCUACUCAUAUUUCACUCUGAAAUGCUAACCUAGAUUCUUCUUGCUCUUCAAAGCUUUGAUGGUGUAACCUAAGUCCCUAU